UACAGAGGUGCCGAGCGUUAGGCGGAAUCACUGGGCUUAAAGCGUGCGUAGGCGGGCGUCUAAGUGUCUUGUGAAAUCCCACGGCUCAACCGUGGAACUGUUGGGCAUACUGGACGCCUUGAGGCACACAGGGGCGAGCGGAACAAGUGGUGGAGCGGUGAAAUGCGUAGAUAUCACUUGGAACGCCGACGGUGAAAACAGCUCGCUGGGUGUGUUCUGACGGCUGAGGCACGAAAGCCAGGGGGAGCGAACGGGG
rnacentral:rRNA from 1 species